UUCCGGUUGAUCCUGCCGGAGGUCACUGCUAUUGGGGUUCGGCUAAGCCAUGCAAGCGGAGGGUGCGGUCGAAAGAUCGUGGCCCCGCACACUGCUCAGUAACACGUAGUCAACCUACCCUUGGGACGGGGACAACCUCGGGAAACUGAGGCUAAUACCCGAUAGGCGAGGGACGCUGGGAUGCCUCCUCGCCCAAAGCUCCGGCGCCCAAGGAUGGGACUGCGGUCUAUCAGGCUGUUGGUGGUGUAACGGACCACCAAACCUACGACGGGUACGGGCGAUGGGAGUCGGAGCCCGGAGAUGGGGACUGAGACAAGGCCCCAGGCCCUACGGGGCGCAGCAGGCGCGAAAACUCCGCAAUGCGCGCAAGCGUGACGGGGGGACCCCAAGUGCCGUUGGUCUUUCGAUCGACGGUUUUUAGGAAGUCUAAGAAGCUUCCAGAAUAAGGGCUGGGCAAGACUGGUGCCAGCCGCCGCGGUAACACCAGCAGCCCGAGUGGUGGCCACGAUUAUUGGGCCUAAAGCGCUCGUAGCCGGAUCAGCAAGUCCCUUGUGAAAUCGGGCCGCCUAACGGUUCGGCGUGCAAGGGAUACUGUUGGUCUUGAGGCCGGGAGAGGUCGGAGGUACUCCUGGGGUAGCGGUGAAAUGCUCUAAUCCUAGGGGGACCACCAGUGGCGAAGGCGUCCGACCAGAACGGACCUGACGGUGAGGGGCGAAGGCUAGGGGAGCGAACGGGAUUAGAUACCCCGGUAGUCCUAGCUGUAAAGCAUGCGGGCCAGGUGUCUAGCGCUCCUUGAGGGCGCUAGGUGCCGGAGGGAAGCCGUUAAGCCCGCCGCCUGGAAGUACGGCCGCAAGGCUGAAACUUAAGAAAUUGGCGGGGGAGCACCACAAGAGGUGGGACCUGCGGUUCAAUUGGAUUCAACGCCGGA
rnacentral:rRNA from 1 species